UGGGGAAUAUUGCACAAUGGGCGCAAGCCUGAUGCAGCCAUGCCGCGUGUAUGAAGAAGGCCUUCGGGUUGUAAAGUACUUUCAGCGAGGAGGAAGGCGGUAAGGUUAAUAACCUUAUCGAUUGACGUUACUCGCAGAGGAAGCACCGGCUAACUCCGUGCCAGCAGCCGCGGUAAUACGGAGGGUGCAAGCGUUAAUCGGAAUUACUGGGCGUAAAGCGCACGCAGGCGGUCUGUCAAAUCGGAUGUGAAAUCCCCGGGCUCAACCUGGGAACUGCAUUCGAAACUGGCAGGCUAGAGUCUUGUAGAGGGGGGUAGAAUUCCAGGUGUAGCGGUGAAAUGCGUAGAGAUCUGGAGGAAUACCGGUGGCGAAGGCGGCCCCCUGGACAAAGACUGACGCUCAGGUGCGAAAGCGUGGGGAGCAAACA
rnacentral:rRNA from 1 species